rnacentral:tRNA from 2 species
GGGCCAGUAGCUCAGUUGGUUAGAGCCGGCCGCUCAUAACGGUCUGGUCGUAGGUUCGAGUCCUACCUGGCCCACCA